rnacentral:rRNA from 1 species
CCUACGGGCGGCAGCAGUGGGGAAUAUUGCACAAUGGGGGAAACCCUGAUGCAGCGACGCCGCGUGAGUGAAGAAGUGUUUCGGUACGUAAAGCUCUGUCAGCAGGGAAGAAAAUGACGGUACCUGAUUAAGAAGCCCCGGCUAACUACGUGCCAGCAGCCGCGGUAAUACGUAGGGGGCAAGCGUUAUCCGGAUUUACUGGGUGUAAAGGGAGCGUAGACGGCAGCACAAGUCUGGAGUGAAAUGCCGGGGCGCAACCCCGGAACUGCUUUGGAAACUGGGCAGCUGGAGUGCAGGAGAGGUAAGUGGAAUUCCUAGUGUAGCGGUGAAAUGCGUAGAUAUUAGGAGGAACACCAGUGGCGAAGGCGGCUUACUGGACUGUAACUGACGUUGAGGCUCGAAAGCGUGGGGAGCAAACAGGAUUAGAUACCCCUGUAGUC